rnacentral:rRNA from 1 species
GACGAACGCUGGCGGCGUGCUUAACACAUGCAAGUCGAACGGAAAGGCCUGCUUUCCCUUGUGGAUUGCGGGUACUCGAGUGGCGAACGGGUGAGUAACACGUGAGUGAUCUUCCCCCAACUUGGGUAUAAGCCUGGGAAACUGGGUCUAAUUCCCGAUAGGACUGCAGGGUGGUGCCUGUGGUGGAAAACGAUUUUCUAGUGUUUGGGGAUGAGCUCGCGGCCUAUCAGCUUGUUGGUGGGGUAAUGGCCUACCAAGGCGGCGACGGGUAGCCGGCCUGAGAGGGUGGACGGCGACAUUGGGACUGAGAUACGGCCCAGACUCCUACGGGAGGCAGCAGUGGGGAAUAUUGCACAAUGGGCGGAAGCCUGAUGCAGCGACGCCGCGUGGGGGAUGACGGGCUUCGGGUUGUAAACUCCUUUCGACCGCGAGGAAGCCACCUGGUUGGAAGGGUGGUGACGGUAGUGGUAGAAGAAGCACCGGCUAACUACGUG